rnacentral:rRNA from 1 species
GGGUGCAAUCAUACCAACAUUAAUGCACUGGAUCCCAUUAGAACUCUAGAGUUAAGCGCACUUGGGAUAGAGUAGUACCCGGAUGGGUGACCUCCCGGGAAGUCCUUGUGUUUCACCCU